CAGGGAGACAAACAACGAUUUUGAUGUCUGAGUUAUUUAUUCUUAGGCCAAAAUCCUGUCACCUUAGGUCGAUCGGUACCUCAACUUUGAAGCUAAGAGAGUUCCAGCAAUGGUUGUCUGCUUAGUGGAGAUUUUUAGUUCCUAAACUUUGUCUAGUUCACAACCCAUUAGGGAUGAGACUCCUGGGCCAUUAGCUCAGGUGGUUAGAGCGCACCCCUGAUAAGGGUGAGGUCCCUGGUUCAAGUCCAGGAUGGCCCAUUCGGUGUAGGGGGUUUAGCUCAGUUGGUAGAGCGCCUGCUUUGCAAGCAGGAUGUCAGGAGUUCGAGUCUCCUAACCUCCACUGACUGCAAAGAAUCCCCAUCUCCAAAACCUGGAGUAUGAACUCGUAUGGAUUGUGAUUUAGAUAUGUCCGCUAGAUGACCCUAGCUUCUUGUCAUUUUAAGGCAUGGAAAUAAUUCCAUGAUUUGAUUGAUAGGAU
rnacentral:tRNA from 1 species